rnacentral:SRP_RNA from 1 species
GCCGGCAUGGUGGCGCAUGCCUGUAAUCCCAGCUACUUGGGAGGCUGAGACAGGGGAAUCGCUUGAACCCAGGAUGCGGAGGUUGCAGUGGGCCGAGAUUAUACCACUGCACUCCAGCCUGGGUGACACAGCGAGACUCCAUCUCAA